rnacentral:tRNA from 1 species
UUAAGGGUGCCAGAGGUAAUGGGUAUGAUUUAGGUUCAUAUUAUGGUAUGUUUAUUCCUCCUUAGC